GAGGGCCUCUCACAGAUAAGAAAAGGAAGGGAGUAUAAGAACUCCCUAAAGCUAGACAGAUAUGUUGGCUUGAGCGAAGAUAUGAGACCUCCGGUUCAGGCCGACCAGCGCUUCUGCAAAACUAAUUAUUCUAACACAAAGUAUUUUUCAUCGAAUCAU